GCUCCGGUAGCUCAGUUGGAUAGAGCAAGCGCCUCCUAAGCGCUAGGUCGCAGGUUCGACUCCUGCUCGGGGCG
rnacentral:tRNA from 2 species